rnacentral:rRNA from 1 species
GUGGGGAAUCUUGCGCAAUGGGCGAAAGCCUGACGCAGCCAUGCCGCGUGAAUGAAGAAGGUCUUAGGAUUGUAAAAUUCUUUCACCGGGGACGAUAAUGACGGUACCCGGAGAAGAAGCCCCGGCUAACUUCGUGCCAGCAGCCGCGGUAAUACGAAGGGGGCUAGCGUUGCUCGGAAUUACUGGGCGUAAAGGGCGCGUAGGCGGACAGUUUAGUCAGAGGUGAAAGCCCAGGGCUCAACCUUGGAAUUGCCUUUGAUACUGGCUGUCUUGAGUACGGGAGAGGUGAGUGGAACUCCGAGUGUAGAGGUGAAAUUCGUAGAUAUUCGGAAGAACACCAGUGGCGAAGGCGACUCACUGGCCCGUUACUGACGCUGAGGCGCGAAAGCGUGGGGAGCAAACAGGAUUAGAAACCCCGGUAGUCC